rnacentral:lncRNA from 9 species
ACUCCCUGAUCCCAGGUCUCAGUCCAAGAUGACAACCUAGUCAUCUCACCCUCGUUUACCCGAGGGAGGAGGCCUCCCAGAGGCCCCCCACCCUCUCCUUGGGUCACAUAUGCAUUUUAUCAUUUAUUGAGUCAAGCUGGCAGAGGGCGGGCAGUUAGUAAAUGGAAGACUCGCUGAUAUAAACAACCGAGGCUUAGUGAAACAACUGAGUAGCAACCACAGGCCAGGCCCAGGGCAAGGGUGCUGGGUCUACAGAGACGAGCAAGAUGCAGUCCCUGACUCUGGCUGUUUCUAGGGGACUGUGGACACUUGACAAAGGAUUUGUUAUCAAACUGAGGGUGACGACAGUAGAAGGGAGAAGAGUGAGCUCCACACCCUAGAACACGAGAGGGAAUGGCUGACUCUGCCCUGGAGAGGUGGAGACCUCACGGAGCAGGUGACCACGCACAUCACGCUGUGAAGCCCAGUCCUUCCCCAAGGCCUUAUUACAUGACCUCCGCACAGGAAGCAUGGCCUCAAAGGAAAUGGGUUUGCCUGGGGAACAAACCCACGAGAAAUCUGGUGGUGCUGAGCGAAUACUGAACAAGGCUUCUUCACGGGUGCGUAUGGUCACUCCCUGGCCCCGAGGGGGGUGCUAAGGGGACAGCCCAAAUCAAAGCUUAGGUUUCACUGGAGACAAAAGUCCUAGAAGAACCUUGAUUCACUAAAUUUAAACGACUCUACCACAGAGGAAGUCACCGAGUCAAGUUACCUCUUGACUUUCACGAACAGGCUGUUGGAUCUGUGUGCAGUCAAGGCUGGAUUUACAGAGAAAGUGGGGCACGAGUUUUGGGCCUGUCACUUGCAUGGCCCCCUGCAAAGGGCCUUAGCUAAAUUUUACAUUCAUAAUUUUAUACAUAUAUUUUUGGAGGGGGGCAGAAAUAAAACCUGGACCUGUCCCUGGGUAUAUUUCCAACCUGAAUGUAACACUAAUCACGAGCGGUAAGCAACGAGAAUCUUGGUACUAGUCAAGCAUUUUAUGACUCGAGGUGGCUCCUAAUGCAAGGCUGCUCCAAUGGAAAGAACGCGGACUUGGGCUCCCCGUGCGGCAGAUUCGGACUUCAACAGAUACUUGAUCUCAAAAAGUAAAUUUAUGCUGCCAGAUCCAACUUUUCAGAAUCGUUUUUUUCAAAGUGAGGCACAAUUGGCUCAGUAAAGGUGACUGGACAGACUGCAUCGCACCCAGUGGGUUCCUGCUAAGUGUUUAAUGAUUGGACGGUAGCAAUUUUGGUACAAAGGUAUUAGCUCUAGCAUGCUUAAAGUCCUCGUGUUUUUGUGUUGCUUUAAUGAGUUCAAAAAUACGAAGUUAAGUCAGAAAGAGAAAGACAAACACCAUACGAUAUCACUUAUAUCUGGAAUCUAAUAUACAGCACAAAUGAACCUAUCUACAGAAAAGAAACAAACUCGUGGCAUGGAGAACAGACUUGUGGUAGCCAAGGGGGAGGGGGAAGGAGUGGGGGGACUGGGAGUUUGGGGUUGGUAGAUUCAAACUAUUGCAUUUGGAAUGGAUGAGCAAUGCGAUUCUGCUGUAUAGCACAGGGAACUAUAUCUAAUCACUUGUGAUGGAAGGUGAUGGUGGAUAAUGUGAAAAAAAAAAGAAUGUAUAUAAAUGCAUCACUCGGUUGCUUUGUGUGUAGCAGAAAUUGACAGAACAUUGCAUAACAACUAUAAUAAAAAUUUUUUUAAAUGCAAAAACGUUGCAAGAGUAAUUCGAAGAACUUGUUAGUUCUUGAACAAUUUCAGAGUAAAGUGUAGGCAUGAUUUCUUCUUAGUGCCUGAAAAACAUGAGUGUAUAUGGCCUUCAGACAAGAAUGAUCUACUACAUAACUACGAAGUAACCAUCAAGACCAGGAAAUCAGCGCUGGAAUAUUACGACUACCACCAACUCCAUUCAAGUUUCACCAACUGUCCUGAUAACAUUCUUCAUAGCUAAACGAUCUGAUCAGGAUUAGGCACUUCAUCUAGUCGGGUUUCUCUAGUCUCCUUCAGUCUGGAAUGGUUGCUAAUCUUUCCUUGUCUCUCAAAACACUGAUAUUUUGAAGGUUAUAGGCCAAUUUGUAGAAUGCUCCUCAAAUUGG